rnacentral:rRNA from 1 species
GUGCCAGCAGCCGCGGUAAUAUCGGCAGCCCGAGUGAUGGCCGAUCUUAUUGGGCCUAAAGCGUCCGUAGCUGGCUGCGCAAGUCCGUCGGGAAAUCCACUCGCCCAACGAGUGGGCGUCCGACGGAAACUGCACAGCUUGGGACCGGAAGGCUCGAAGGGUACGUUCGGGGUAGGAGUGAAAUCCCAUAAUCCCGCACGGACCGCCGAUGGCGAAAGCACUUCGGGAAGACGGAUCCGACGGUGAGGAACGAAAGCCAGGGUCUCGAACCGGAUUAGAAACCCGAGUAGUCC